GACUGAGCAAGCAUUGGAAUCAGUCCAUCAAGACUUCAAACAAUUUUGGGAAAUACGAAAGAAUUCUUUCAUUACAAAUCCAAAGAUGAUUCUAUAUGGGCAUUGUAUUCCUGUAGACCUACAUUAUCCUCUUCAA